AGUGAACGCUGGCGGUAGGCCUAACACAUGCAAGUCGAACGGCAGCACAGUAAGAGCUUGCUCUUACGGGUGGCGAGUGGCGGACGGGUGAGGAAUACAUCGGAGUCUACUUUUUCGUGGGGGAUAACGUAGGGAAACUUACGCUAAUACCGCAUACGACCUACGGGUGAAAGCAGGGGAUCUUCGGACCUUGCGCGAUUGAAUGAGCCGAUGUCGGAUUAGCUAGUUGGCGGGGUAAAGGCCCACCAAGGCGACGAUCCGUAGCUGGUCUGAGAGGAUGAUCAGCCACACUGGAACUGAGACACGGUCCAGACUCCUACGGGAGGCAGCAGUGGGGAAUAUUGGACAAUGGGCGCAAGCCUGAUCCAGCCAUACCGCGUGGGUGAAGAAGGCCUUCGGGUUGUAAAGCCCUUUUGUUGGGAAAGAAGAGCAGCAGGUUAAUACCCCGCUGUUCUGACGGUACCCAAAGAAUAAGCACCGGCUAACUUCGUG
rnacentral:rRNA from 1 species